rnacentral:rRNA from 1 species
AUUGAACGCUGGCGGCAGGCCUAACACAUGCAAGUCGAGCGGGGUUUUCGGACCUAGCGGCGGACGGGUGAGUAAUGCGUAGGAAGCUACCCGAUAGAGGGGGAUACCAGUUGGAAACGACUGUUAAUACCGCAUAAUGUCUACGGACCAAAGUGUGGGACCUUCGGGCCACAUGCUAUCGGAUGCGCCUACGUGGGAUUAGGUAGUUGGUGAGGUAAUGGCUCACCAAGGCGACGACCCCUAGCUGGUUUGAAAGGAUGAUCAGCCACACUUGAACUGAGACACGGUCCAGACUCCUACGGGAGGCAGCAGUGGGGAAUAUUGGACAAUGGGCGCAAGCCUGAUCCAGCCAUGCCGCGUGUGUGAAGAAGGCCUUCGGGUUGUAAAGCACUUUCGGUAGGGAGGAAGAGUUGUGUGUUAAUAGUACACAGCGUUGACGUUACCUACAGAAGAAGCACCGGCUAACUCUGUGCCAGCCGCCGCCGUAACAC